CCUCUCAACCAUGUCGCCCUGUUCACCCAGAGCAGAAAUGCUGGCAGCUGUCAUGGACAAGUGAGAUGAGGCACACGUCUCCAGGAUGACCCACGGGCUUCUCUGCCUGUCGCUGCCAUUUUCAACCCUCUUCCCCUCCCCGCUCUGUUUUCCUGUCUUCCUCUCUCCCUCCCUCCUUCUUCUUCUCUCCCCACCCCACUCUCUUCGAAGGAGAAUUAUAUUCAGCUCUGUGGGUUGUUUUUAAUGCAUUCCAGAUGCCAGAAGAAAUCUUGGCCUGGGCUCAGCGUUCUUCUGACUUCAGGCCUCUCCCCCACCUACCUCCCUGUCUGACUCCCAAGGCCACACAAGGAAAAAUCAUUCGGAUUAUCUGGGAGAAAAUGCUCCUGGUGUUUGGUGACACAGAAGGAGCAAGCAGGGCAGAUCGAAGGCAUAAGUGAAAUCCUGUGGUUUCUGAACAGGCCAAGAUUCACUUGAAUAAGAAAUGAAAAACCGAGAAGAUCGUUGAAGAGCACAGGUGCUUCUCUAGAAGGACUAAAACCUAGAAAUUAAUUCAAUUGCCAUUUUGAGGGGAGAAGAGAAGAAGAACGGCUACUCCUCUGAGUCAACGUCAUGCAUAGGUUGGGCCGCUGUUGUUACUAUACCAAGAAUGACUGAGGCUGAGUACUUAAAAGAAAAAACUUUGGAGACUAGAAAUCCAAACAGCAUGGCAUCUUCUCAGAUGAGAGAAUCCCUUGUCUUCAUCACCUCAUGGGGAAAAACAUGCAAAAGAAAGAGACACACAGGAAGCCAGAGCGAAGGAGAGACCAGCCUGAGGACCGCCUAAGUAUCACUUUUAGAUAUCUCAACAUGCCACCCACCCAUCACCACACCAAGAACCCAGCUUCUAGCACAUGGACCUUUGGGCAAGCCACACCCAACACCAUACCAACAUUCAGUGCAAGUUAGUUCUCAGGAUGGACGAGGGGAUAGUAAGACAUUACUUGGUCCCACACCUUUUAUUCUCUUGUUAGAAUAAAUGUGUCCCAUCAUGUAG
rnacentral:lncRNA from 1 species